AGAGUUUGAUCCUGGCUCAGAUUGAACGCUGGCGGCAGGCCUAACACAUGCAAGUCGAGCGGUAGAGAGAAGCUUGCUUCUCUUGAGAGCGGCGGACGGGUGAGUAAUGCCUAGGAAUCUGCCUGGUAGUGGGGGAUAACGUUCGGAAACGGACGCUAAUACCGCAUACGUCCUACGGGAGAAAGCAGGGGACCUUCGGGCCUUGCGCUAUCAGAUGAGCCUAGGUCGGAUUAGCUAGUUGGUGAGGUAAUGGCUCACCAAGGCUACGAUCCGUAACUGGUCUGAGAGGAUGAUCAGUCACACUGGAACUGAGACACGGUCCAGACUCCUACGGGAGGCAGCAGUGGGGAAUAUUGGACAAUGGGCGAAAGCCUGAUCCGGCCAUGCCGCGUGUGUGAAGAAGGUCUUCGGAUUGUAAAGCACUUUAAGUUGGGAGGAAGGGCAGUAAAUUAAUACUUUGCUGUUUUGACGUUACCGACAGAAUAAGCACCGGCUAACUCUGUGCCAGCAGCCGCGGUAAUACAGAGGGUGCAAGCGUUAAUCGGAAUUACUGGGCGUAAAGCGCGCGUAGGUGGUUUGUCAAGUUGAAUGUGAAAUCCCCGGGCUCAACCUGGGAACUGCAUCCAAAACUGGCAAGCUAGAGUAUGGUAGAGGGUAGUGGAAUUUCCUGUGUAGCGGUGAAAUGCGUAGAUAUAGGAAGGAACACCAGUGGCGAAGGCGACUACCUAGACUGAUACUGACACUGAGGUGCGAAAGCGUGGGGAGCAAACAGGAUUAGAUACCCUGGUAGUCC
rnacentral:rRNA from 1 species